UAGCUCAGUUGGUAGAGUGCUUGCCUCGCAUGCACAAGGCCCUGGGUUCAAACCCCAG
rnacentral:tRNA from 1 species